GACGAAGGUGGCGAGCGUUACUCGGAAUUACUAGGCGUAAAGCGUGGGCAGGCGGCCCGGCAAGUCUGUUGUGAAAGCUCCCGGCCUAACCGGGAGAGGCCAAUGGAUACUGCCGGGCUUGAAUGUGGGAAGGGUGACUGGAAUUCCUGGUGUAGCGGUGAAAUGCGUAGAUAUCAGGAGGAACACCAAUGGCGAAAGCAGGUCACUGGACCACUAUUGACGCUCAUCCACGAAAGCUGGGGGAUCAAACAGGAUUAGAAACCCCGGUAGUACCGUCCGUAGACGU
rnacentral:rRNA from 1 species